UGUCUUUCCAUGAAUAAAAAGAGAAAUACCUACCCUAGUCUUAUAGGAAUAAACUCUUAGACCAAUGGAACAAUCUAAGACAAGGGAAUAAAUCUAUCAAUAAG